CGCGUAGGCGGUCUGGUCAGUCGGAUGUGAAAGCCCUGGGCUCAACCUGGGAAUUGCAUUCGAUACUGCCAGGCUAGAAUGUUGGAGAGGGAAGUGGAAUUUCCGGUGUAGCGGUGAAAUGCGUAGAGAUCGGAAGGAACACCAGUGGCGAAGGCGGCUUCCUGGCCAAACAUUGACGCUGAGGUGCGAAAGCGUGGGUAGCGAACAGGAUUAGAUACCCUGGUAGUCC
rnacentral:rRNA from 1 species